GACGAACGCUGGCGGCGUGCUUAACACAUGCAAGUCGAACGGAAAGGCCCUGCUUUUGUGGGGUGCUCGAGUGGCGAACGGGUGAGUAACACGUGAGUAACCUGCCCUUGACUUUGGGAUAACUUCAGGAAACUGGGGCUAAUACCGGAUAGGAGCUCCUGCUGCAUGGUGGGGGUUGGAAAGUUUCGGCGGUUGGGGAUGGACUCGCGGCUUAUCAGCUUGUUGGUGGGGUAGUUGCUUACCAAGGCUUUGACGGGUAGCCGGCCUGGGAGGGUGGCCGGCGACAUUGGGACUGAGGUACGGCCCAGACUGCUACGGGAGGCAGCAGUGGGGAGUAUUGAACAAUGGGAGGAAGCCUGAUAAAAAAACGCCGCGUGCGGGAUGACGGCCUUCGGGUUGUAAAAAGCUGUCGCCUGGGACGAAGCGUGAGUGACGGUAAUGGGUAAAGAAGCACCGGCUAACUACGUG
rnacentral:rRNA from 1 species